UAGGGAAUCUUCCACAAUGGACGCAAGUCUGAUGGAGCAACGCCGCGUGAGUGAAGAAGGUCUUCGGGAUCGUAAAACUCUGUUGUUAGAGAAGAACACGAGUGAGAGUAACUGUUCAUUCGAUGACGGUAUCUAACCAGCAAGUCACGGCUAACUACGUGCCGG
rnacentral:rRNA from 1 species